UGUCAUCAAAUUGUAUAAAGCCGAAAUUCUUUUGGAUGAAUUUUAUACUUUGACUAUCUGUUAUAUUGAUCACCAGAACAAUGACAGUGUUUAAAAUUGUCUGUUUUUCAAUAGUUUGCUCUCGCAUGUUCACAAAAACUACUGCAGAGAUUCUUAGACCAAUGCAGAAAGUAAGCAUACAGCCUACAUAUGUCAACUGAACUUUCAAUGACCAGACAAAAAGGUCAAUGUAUUACAUGAACGUCGUCGCUCCGCCAGAUACUACGGGGAAAUCAGAUGAUGGUGUCUUCAUUUUCACCAGAGUGUCGGAUAUAGUUGAGACUUCAUCGGUAUUCGACGCAACCAUUACUAUUGAGAACGAUCUGGAACCUUGGAAAUCUCAUAAAAUAACUUUAUCAUCCGUUUCAACCAAAACUGAAUUUGAAAUAUAUGUAACUAGUCAUGGGGACAUGACCGAACAAACAGAGUUCUUCGAUAUAGAUUGUUCAUAUGAGGUCUCGAGGACAAAAUCUCUUGGGGUAACAAAGUAUGUUGGAAGAUAUAAAGGCUGCAAAGCGGAACACCUAGAUUCCAUUCCAGUAUUCAACGGUAAUUUAAAUAUAAAUGGGGAUGAACUAGGUUUUUACUAUGAUAUGAAUAGAGCACCACAAUAUUUCAACAUGACAUUUAAUUCUAAUGGUAUAGAAUUACAUCUUAACGAAGAAAAGGUGAAAGCAGAUAACGGUAACAUAGAUUGUUUAUACUUUGACAUGAUAAUAUCACCAUACGCCGGAUGGCUGGCAGAACGUCGAAGAUGGCGAUUGGAUAUUGUUCCAGAAUCCUCCACUUGCCGCAGUAAACGCAUCUAUUAAAUUCUGAAGUAUGACUAUGACCAUCAGUAUUAUACUGCUGUCUCCUAUCUAUGAUAGUAUAAGCCGACAUGCGUGAACGAAAAGCCACUGUAAUGUUUAGUAAUGCUUUUAAUUUAUUAUCUGUAUAAUAAUUAUAUUUACAAAAUCAUGUACUCCGUAUAUUACAAAAUGUAUUUGUUUAAUAAGUGUACAACUAAAGAUUUCAACACAAAAUUUAUUCUAUUUCGAAGUGUCAUAGAACAUGGUGUCUUUGAGACAUAAACGUACAUGCUGAUUACAGAGUAUGAGAAUAAACGGAGACAUUACUAUAUCAUAUACAAUAUAGUCACUAAGUAUAAGUGGUUAUCGUGACAACAACCACUGGUAUAUAAAAGAUACAAUAGUAAGGGUCAAACAUCUUUUUAAUAGUACGACAGCAUUCUUCGAUUAAGUAUGGCAAAUAACGUGACAUCAAAAUGGAUUCUAUAUUAUAUGUUAAAAAUAUGGUGUUUCCA